rnacentral:piRNA from 1 species
UUCUAGUAGUAACCAUACCACAGCUUGAGUGC